UUUGGCCUACGGGACGCAGCAGUCGGGAAUAUUGCGCAAUGGAGGAAACUCUGACGCAGUGACGCCGCGUAUAGGAAGAAGGUUUUCGGAUUGUAAACUAUUGUCGUGAGGGAAGAAAUUGACAGUACCUCAGGAGGAAGCUCCGGCUAACUAUGUGCCAGCAGCCGCGGUAAUACGUAGGUGGCAAGCGUUGUCCGGAUUUAUUGGGCGUAAAGCGAGUGCAGGCGGGUCAAUAAGGCUGAUGUGAAAGCCUUCGGCUCAACCGGAGGAUUGCAUCAGAAACUGUUGAACUUGAGUG
rnacentral:rRNA from 1 species